rnacentral:rRNA from 1 species
UACAGAGGUCUCAAGCGUUGUUCGGAUUCAUUGGGCGUAAAGGGUGCGUAGGCGGUUUGUCACGUCGGGAGUGAAAACUCAGGGCUUAACCCUGAGCCUGCUUCCGAUACGGGCAGACUAGAGGUAUGCAGGGGAGAAUGGAAUUCCUGGUGUAGCGGUGAAAUGCGCAGAUAUCAGGAGGAACACCGGUGGCGAAGGCGGUUCUCUGGGCAUUACCUGACGCUGAGGAGCGAAAGUGUGGGGAGCGAACAGG